rnacentral:lncRNA from 1 species
UUGAACUAUUGUUUGUUUGGUUGUAGAAAGGCUAUGGCUGGAGUCACCUGCGCUCUGUGUGCUGCACAAAGGAAACAGAUCAAACAGAGGCAAACAAUUGCCAUCUGCAGUCUAGAAAAUCUGAUCCAUAACAAAAGAUGAAUAUGCAUGAAAAGAUUGAGGAAGUUACUGUAUGGGGACUGUUGAGUCACGGUCUGAAUUGAUGGAGCACCUGGGGAAAGGACCCGGUCAGCCCUGGGAGCACAGGUGAAGGCAAUUCAGCUGUGUGAGUGGAAGGGCUGCAGCCUGGCUGCACCUCUCUUAGACCUCAUUUAAGGGCUGACUGCCACUGGGGAAGGAUUUCUGGUUGGAGAUCCCUCCUGUGUGGAGUUUUCCCUGUGAGCCUGGAUUUUCAGAGAUGGAGUUGUCAGAAGGACCUGGAGAGUCUGAGGCAAUCUGAGAAGAAACACAGACUGUUCAGAAAAGCCCACGCAUCUGUCUAGAAUAGAUGCAGAAAGGUAUUUAGUUAAAAUUUCCUUUUAAAUGUGUGAUUUAUGAACAACAUAAUCUGGAUUUAUUUAUUUAUUUAUUUUACAGAGAGUGACAUUUUAAGCUGUUUCUUCCUGUAAUUUUUCUAUGCAGUUCUAGGAGGGAAUAUUCAAAGCUGGGAUAAAAGAAUGCUGUUAUGGCGACAUGACCUAGUUUAUCCUACAGCUCUUCAUCUAGAUAAAAUUUUUCACCUAGCCCAUGAAAUAGGUAAAAUCAUGCUUUUAGCUUUCCAAGUAAAGCCUAGUGUCUAGUCACUGCUAGAUCUGUUCUUCACAAAUGCAGAAAUAUCUUUCAGCAGAAUGAAUCCACAACACAGUCAGGUUGUUUGUUGUUUCUUGUUAUUUUCUGACUGAAGAAUCUGCUGACUUCUCUUUAAAAUGUAGGCUUCAAGAGCAGUGACCUUUUAAGAUUCGCUUUUCAGUUUUAUGUUUGUCUAAAACUGUUUCCUUGAAAUGGAUUAUUUAGUGACCAAUUUUCAGGACAAGUAACUCAUGUCGAUUUAUCAGGGAAGCAAAUAUUUCAGUAUUCGUCUUUGGAGAAGAUCUCUAAAAAUGGAGAUGAAUUUGGAGUAGUUGCUUGACCUUAGAUAUCUACAGCAAAACAAAACACAGCAAGAUGUGGAAAUAAAUGGUUAUUUGAUUAUGAUUUUGUUCCAUUUCAACAGAAAUAGAGUACUAUGUUCUCGUUACUGCUGUUAGCUAGGAAUAGCUACUUUAAAUCUGUGUGAGCAGAAUAGUAAAGCAGAAAAACACCAACUCUCACCAAAUCUGUGUUUACCUGUUUUGAUAUACAUUACUACACAUAAAACUAAAUGUAUUAUGAACUUACAUCAGCUGGCAGAAAAGCAGGAAAAUGCUCCAACUGUAUAUGAACCAGAUCUUGAUGGUUCAUAAAGCACAGGUGAGAGAUGUAAUUCACCAAAAACGGAGCCAUAAAUGUCACGUGGUUAUUGAUUACACCCUGAAUAGUUAAGAAUUCUUCCUAAAAGUUCUUUGAGCAUUAAAUACCACUGAUCUACAUUUAAUAUACAAUGAUGUUGCUCUAGAUCUAGGCUGGGCUCGAUUUCUUUUCUUCCAGAUGCUCUCACCUCCCUGCAAACUCGUGAUUAAACUGUUUUGAUUUCUUUUUCAGAUGCAGAAUUGUGUCUCCACUGAAAACAAAAAAAAAAAGGGUCUGUCGCAAGAAAAACUGAAUCAAAUUCUCCAGGAGUUUUUCAGUACAAUUAAGCUGUAGGAUAGUCCAUAUCAUAGGUGCAAAUCUCUCUGUUCAUUAUAGGACAGCUGACAAGGAUAUGGCAAAAGGUAAAACCAGGAAUUAUGUCUUUAAGGGCUCAUUGUAAUCUAAUUUUAUUGGUGGUACCCUCCCCAACAUAAUGAACUUUGAUGAAAUAAUGAAGUAGUUGUGGCGCCUGUGAAACUGAGCAGGCAGCUCUGCCAGUUAAAGACCUCCCAUGAACACAAUCACCCAGGCAACAACUCUGGGCUGCAGUGAAGCCAGAAACUGGCAAGUCAGCUCUUCCAUCUCUUAGCUCCUUGCAAUUCUGCUUUCUGAGACUUGGGGAAAGAAAAAAGAAAUAAAAAAGAGAGGGAGAAGAUGAAGAAGAAGAAAAAAAGAUCAUCCACUUACAUCUGUGGUUGAAGGAUAUAGCUUAAAAAAAAUAAAUUCUGUCAGAAUCCACUGAGUUGUUUAAAAUGACUCCAAGUUCGGCAGCCAGCAAAGUUACAGAAACCAUAAGGCUGGCUCUGCCACUGAAUAAGUUCAAAUAUCUAAGGAAAUGAAUACAAGGAAGACUUUAAAUAGCAAUAUUUUUAAUUCGGCAAGAUUUCCACCCCCUGCUAGACUUGGAGAGAGUGCAACAGAUGGUUACAGGAAUCUGUAAAUUUAUCAUUGUUAUUUUUAAGAAGUUGGAUCUGUGGAACACAAACAUUUAAUAAUGGAUAUAAUUAAAUUCUUUGCUAGUUAGUUUGACUCGAGUCAAUUGGCACUGUAAUGCCAUUUCAUUUACAUAAAAUGUAUAGUAAUUGUGGUUCAGAGAACUGUGAUUUUACAGAGCUGGAACUACAGAUGGAAUAAAGAUAAAAGAAAUCAGAGUUAACAACACCCCUAUGAUCUCAGAUAAUGUCUCAUAUUUGGAGUUUAGGUAUUCAAACUCUAAUCUCUAUAAUCAAACUCAGGUCCAAAUCAGCUAGAAACACAAGCAUUUUCAGUGUGACUAAUGACUUUGGGCACUCCAAUUUCCAGAUGAUUAAAUGAUGAUGUUUUCAAGUGACCUGAUUUUGAUAGUUGUUAUUAAAGCAAUUCUGAAAAUUAGACUCCCCUAGUGGUGGAAACCCCAUGGCAUCAAUGAAUUACAUGGAAUUUCUACCACCAUAACGAUGAACUUUUCUAAGAACUGAUGACCACGUUUUCAGUAAGUACAAAGCUACCUUUGAAAGCUUUACCUGAAGUUGAUCCUGAUGCUUAAUCUGAAAAUCAUCUAACUGGUCUAUCUCUACACACAAAUUCUUAUUUUGUUUGAAACUGUAGCACCUCCCUGUUUGUUUUUUUAAACAAAUAUCGACUUAUUUGAAGUCAAUAAGGCUGAUGAAAGCUGAAUGUAAUUGCUUAUUGGUAGGAAUUUUUAUUUUGAAAGCAGCUGUCUUUAAGAGGCUGCUUCUCAGUGACUCUUGAGAUAUCAGCUUCUGAAAGUAGACAAAUACAAAUUGGAGUAAAAUCACAACCAGGCUUACUGGGAAUGUUCAGCGUAUCAAUCCCCAUUAGAGCUCCUCAGGUUCUGGGUCUUCCUGAGGCCGCAGUCUUGUGUUCAUCGAUAAACGUGACAGUCACUCCCACACAAAGGUUUGGAAGCCUUUCAAGGGAUUAAAUCAUCCUUCUUCCACUCAGUAGAAGGUUCAGCCAUAUCAAUGUGCGUAUAAAUACUACUAUGUGAGUAUGCACAGGAUUGUAUGUGAGAUAGGAUACGGGUAUCCAGGAUUUGUGCCAUUCUACGAAGUUACAAAUUAGACCCAAGCUAACCAGAUUGUUAUGGAUCUGGGCCUAGUCAUUACACUGAUUUUGUGGUUACAGAGCAAGAGGUUGUGCCUUUUCAACAAUAUAUCUCUGAUUGCUCAUGAAGGCUUUUGGAUGAUUGUGGCAAUGGAUUACUGACUCAGUUUCUCGUUGCCUGCUUGUCAGAGAGAUCCAUUUCCUAUUUUUACUGGGACUACUCAAAUUGUCCAUCCAAAUUAAACGCAAAAGCAAAAUGUGCAGCUAUUGUGUAGGCUCUAAGCCAACGCUUGUCAGCAGUCAAUAGAGGAGCAGCUCCCAGAUGUCUCUUUUACCUGAAGAAACUAAAAGUACAUGGUGUCCUUUUAAUCUGGAAACAAAAGAGAACAAAGGCAAACAAAUGGAGACCAAAUUAUCUAGCCUUGAGAUCUGAAUUUACUCCAUAUUGAACUUCUGGUUCCUACCUAAUGAGCCCAUGCUGUUGCUCGCUAGUGAAUGAGAACAAAGAAAAGUGACUCAUGCUGCCUUGUUACUGUUACAUAAUCUAUACAAGUAAUUUAUUUUUAUGGUUAAUUACUGGAUUAGUAAGGUAUAUUGGAAAUGGAGAUGUGUAUAAUGGCAAGGAGAUGUGGCAGAAGGACUUACAGGAGAUUCAAAUGGUUGUCUGUAAAACUGUGCAAAAAAUAUCUGUCAGUACAUCAUGCAGGAAAAUCUCCAUAAAGCAUGACUGCUUUCAGGGUUGGUCAUUUGUGUUAACACCUCAAAGUGUGGCUGGAUUCCAUUCGGCCUCAGUAGGCCUUUGUCCUUACAUUAGUCUUUUUUUUUUUUUUUUUUUUGCAGUGACAAAACUCCCUUUAUUUCACCUCGGUGAAUAACUUCUGCUCUUACCUGCUGGGGAAACCUGGAGUCAGUAUUUGUUCCUUCUCACAUGAUUACACAGGGCCAUUUCUAUAGCCUCGCAAAAUCCCUGCUGUAUUAAUCACCACAGAGCUGUGAGAAUAAGGGAUAUAAAUCUUCCAAACCACAGUCAAACUACUAGAGAUUGGUUUAUGUCAUUUACAGAAAGGUAGAAAUAAUAAUCAUUCUGAAGUGUCUGGAUGCAUCUAACUCUGUACUAGAUAUGCAAGUAUGCAUUUGAAGCUGCAACAAUCCUUUGGUCAUCAAAUGACCUAGAUUGGGAUUACAUGCUGAGGCAUCAGUCUAAUAUGAAAUUACUCCGUGUUUUUAUUGUAAUGACCAAUUAAGAAUCAGCACCUCAGAAACCUCAGGUAGCAGUUUUCCAUGAAAUAAACAUCGACCUUGAAAAUGUGCCCCUUCUGAAAUCCUAAUGCUGAUGUAUUCUGAAAGGGUCAGACCGUCACCAUGGUGUUGGCAGGAGUGAGUUGUGUUUGGCUGCCGAAUGCCAAUACAUCCUCCAUGCCAAAGAUUAGUUGUGAGCAGGGAAGUUGCUAGGAGCCGGGGGUAAACACAAAUGCUCCCUGCUUUCCUUACAGCUCUGCUUCAAAGUCCUGCAGCACGCUCAUGAAUGUACCCAAUGCUCCUCUUCCCUCCUUUAACAACAUGUGGUACAUGGGGUAAGGAGUCAUAUUGUGUUCUUUUGGGUCUUUUUAAAACAAAUUUUUAUUUAACCUCUGCUUUGACCCAGCACGUAAGUGUGUUGCCCAGAUAUGCUCCAUUUCAGUUUAUUUAACCAGAAUGUUUGCUUACUCAGUGACCACUGGAGGGGAACUACUGCUCUUAUUAAUUCCACAAUGGGUAUUUGUUGCUUCUUGUUUUCUGACAUUUUCUUUAUGACCCUAAUUGCAGAGUUCUUGUUUUCAGAUAAUAAAUGCACGUGUCUAUUUGCUCAGGCAUUAUGCAAUUGAUCUCCAGCUAUUAAUUAAAGAUCUAGACUCAAUGUCUCUGAACCUGCCUCCGGAUAUUUGUCCUCAUUGUGUCAUACCUUGGGUGCACAAACAGGGAAACCACUCACAGCACUGCAUGCACGCUGCUCGUUCUCUUUAAUUACAAAGUCUGAAUUCUGGAGCUCGCAAAGAAGGAAUUACACGGAGCAAAGAAUAUUUUUCUGAUGGGAUUUUUAUUCUUCCUUCUUUCACUGGGCUGCCAGCAUUUCUCCCAAGAUGCUGACCUGCAAGCAUAAUGAGAUGUUUGUGUUGUUCUCAGCAUUACAGACCAAAAGGGGUUUAUUUUUUCCUUUAUUGUUGCUGCUGUUAAUAGCAGGGCAAAAUUCAGCUGACAUUACGAAGAAGAUGAAGAUUUCAUGGGUGAAAAGAGAAAUCUUUUUUUUCUUGGUUGCUUUUUCCUCCCAAGAGCCCAUUUAGGCAAAUACGUUAUAUGAUCCUGUGAACAAAUUGUUACUUUUCCAGACUGCUCUGUUUUCUGUGUAAACACUUUAAUGUAGCAGCGUACAAGAACAGCACUUUCAAUCCAAAACGCAUCAAAAAUAGACCUUCCAGAACAUUUGGAACUUGUUAGGCUCCAGAAGGAAAAAGGGAAGGAGAGACUGUGAAAAAAAGCUUUUCACCUCCUAACUGCUCUCUUUUUUAUAUUUCUUAAUGUUCUAAAAAUCCUACCGGAUUGCUAUGAAGCUUUUCAAAGCUCAGAACAGCAUGGGUCCCCAAAUAUAGCGAAGGCGCAGCUGAGAGAGGCAGAAAUUGUUUUCAGUCAAUUUAGUAAGAAGUCAUUACACUUGAAGAGAAAACCUAAUGAGCUUGGGAAGCCAGGAUUUGGUACCUACCCCUUUUAUACACUUCCUGUUCCCCUUAGGAAAAUCAUCCAGCCUCUUUGUGACUCAGUUUCCUCGCCGCCAAAUGAGAAUAGCAACACUUUCUGACCUCACAGGGAGUGCGUCUGAGAAGCAGUUGAGUACCUGGAGGGAAGGAGCUAAAAAAUAGACAUCUUUAGCACCAGCAGAUGCAGCGGGUGUACCUCACUGCAGCAAAUUUCCAGGUGAAGAGUCUUCUACUGGAAAAAUACUGAUUCAAUGCCACUGAAAUGCUUGGGGAAAAUAAAUGUUGUUUAAUACGUUAAAAAGUAGCAGUGGAUUUUGCUGUUGAGAUACAUCCAGGUUGGAUCUGUGCAGUUGGAAAUUACUUUAUCAGUUAAAAAAAACCAGUCAUGACAGUGUUGAUCUUAUCACAGCCAAGUUCUUCAGUGUUUUCACAUUUGAUGUUUCUACAACUUCUCUUUUGAAGUACUGCUUCACAGGAAAAAAAAUAAAUAAAGCUUAACAUUUUUUUUUCUGGCCCUUGAAAAAAAAAAAAGACCAUCACUAACCCACAAAAAAAGAAUGAACUUUUGGUUCUUAUCUCUCUCAGUAGUCACAGCCACCCAAGGAUGUGCGGGAGCAUUAUCUGUACGCAAGCUAAAAUCCCCAGGAGUGCUGUCAGCAAUCUGCAGUGAGCACAUGUCAAAAUAAGAGAUUAGAAUUGCUGGUUUGGUUGCAAGCUCAAAACGCUCUUUUUUUUUUUUUUUUUUUAUUUUAUUUUAUAUUUCCAUUCCCCCAACAAAUUAAAUCUUUUGCCUCCAGAGCUGUAGUGUUAUAGCUAUCAUCUCUUUAUGCAUUUGAGUUAUGAAUUGCGGGCAUCUCUGCCUGCUUCUUCUUAUAUUAAAAUGGGCUGCUGUAACCUCACUGUUCCAUACUAAGAAGAUACGCAAUCCUUGUGAUACAGUAUCAUAGCAUUUUGGCAUCAUUUCAUCCUGCGUAAGAAAAUGAACGCUAUGAGAACGUUGGCAUAAUCUUUUGGCUUCACAGGCUUGGCUGCCGCAGGCUCAGCUUCUGAAGGUUUAAAAACUUUUAUCCCAGUUCAGAUAAUAUUGCCAAAACUUGGGUUGUCUUCUAUAGAAAAUAAUUGCUUGUCCAAGUCUUUACAGUCUCUAUGCUAGUUUAAUAACAAGUAAUUAGUUGAAUAAGUCCAAUUAAGGCCUUUGUACAGAUCUGAGAUUGGAGUAGGACUGUAGGUCAAGUUUCAUUUUAAAAUCCAUUAGAAUUUCUAUCACUCCGUACACACCCAGGGCAAAGCUAUUAUGGGCUUUCCCAUUAACACAUAUGAUUCAUUAUUUGGACUUGGAGCCCAGAUCUAACAAUGUAUGUAUUUAAAUCCCUAAAGCAUACCUAGAACAGUAGCAUUCACUGUGAUCAGGAGCUCCUUUUUUCACCUUUCUCUGAUAGAUGUGCUAGACUCGGGGAUACCUGUGAAUGGCGGUGGAAAAAAGGUUAAAGCACACUUGUGCAUGUGGAACAGUGCUUUGAAACAAUACAUGUGAAUUUUACCUUAGAUGGUACUUCACAGAAGAACCAUAAAGUUUCAGUGGGCAAACUUCCCCACUGGAUCCACACCUAACCAGUGCUCCGUUUUUCAACAAGCUGUACUUCAGUUUCAUGUACUGUUGAUGUUCAUGCAUUCUAAUGGGUGACUGUUGCUCCUUGCUUUGACAAACUUCACUUCAGCUCUUGGCUCCUGCUUUGACAGUGCACAAGCAGGGAGAGCAGCUUGUACAGCUUUCUCACUGAAAAGCAACAUUUGCUUUUGAGAUUAACGGGCUGAGCUAGGAAAAUUUCACAGCCCUCCAGACAAAAUGUUGUCAAGCCAUUAUAAGUACAAAAGGUUGUGUGUCUGUUUUGCAAGCCAACUCAUUUACUGAGUGUCAUUAGGAGCUCAUACACCUCCCUGUUGUGAUGUUCUCAUUAUUAAAUUAUAGAGGGUAUCACAGUAAUUUGAGAUGUGGACUUUAAGUGUCAUUUCUAUCCUCUCUCGCUCCACUUGAUGGUCAGAGCUAUCUAUUCUUAUCACGCACAGACAAAUUUCCUCUGCUGUGGCUUUUCUGUGAAUGGUUAGAUUAAUUGCUGUCUAUCUUGAACCACUGUUACGUCUACUCAGAUAUUAAAAAGAAGUUUAAAUUCGAUUCUUUUUAUUUCAUUGGCACUCUGCACAGAGUUAAGAGUCAUAAUCCCAGUGGGAUUAGUGCUCACUAUGUCAGAUGCAGAUUUUGAAAAUUGUGAGAUGACAAUAAUAGUGAGAAUGAUAAUCGUAUGAACCGUUUCAAGCUACGGAGAUUCAAGAAAUAAUCAUCAUUGUGGUUUGAAUAUAGUAAGAAUUUCUUUUAUGACUUCAAGGUCAGUAUGAAACAGAAAUGUUAUGCAAAGUAAUGUAAAGAAAAAUAAGAUCAGAAGAUUAGCUCUAACUGUCAGAACAAAAGUUCAUUCAGCCCAAAUCCAGCAUCUUCAGAAAGCAGACAAAGAGAUAUCCUUCUCUUGUUACAUCCUCCCAGCUUUCAGGACCAGGUGAUACAAGGACUCUCUGGUCCAGAAAAGAUAACCGGACUCUUAAGAGCCACCGAUGGACUCAACCUACCAAAAAUGUGACAGUCUUUUAAACUCCUUUUUGCUUUUGGCCCCACAACUCCUUACAGCAGUACUCUCCAGAGUUCGCUGACAUGUAUUGUGAGCAAGCACGUCAAACACGUUCGUUGCUGUUUUGAAGAUUGCUGCCUGCAGAGUUUAGAAAUCAUCCCUUGAUUCUUAUGCUGAACAAAGAGAAACACAGUUUAUGUAAGGUAAACUGACAGCAAUCAUCUCAGUGGGUUAUUAUUGUUUGUGAUGCAUAAUUUAAAAGCCAGAUUUUCCAACAAUUUAUGGAUGCAAUUAUACAUCUAAUUUGCACAGUUAUUGCAGACACAUAUAAUAUCAGUUGCUUGCAUGUUCAGCUGGGCUAACGUAGGGCUGGAACAGCACUGAAUGAUCCUUUUGUACAUUUUUCCAGGGGAUUAUGCCACAUUUAGCAUAAUCUCUUCUAACAACAGUAAGUCAGCUCUCUAAUAGUUUCACACCAGAUGCAAACCACAUUGUUUUUCAAGGAACAAACAUCCAUUAUUGUCAAUGGACAUUGUUAUAGAAGAAAUCUUCUGACUUUGGAGCUUAGCAGAAAUGCAUACUGAUUUAAAAAAAUUAAACAGCAUGGAAAGACCAAGAUAUUCCUUUCAAAGCAUAGGUCACAGCAUAGGUACAACAUCUGACUUUUUUUGUUGGGGUUUUCAAGCUGACUCACUGCAAUAUACAGAAUGCAUAUGUAUAUCAUACAUAUAUAUGUAUAGUACAUAUGCUCAACAAGUUUUUACACAGCAAAGGCUUUGUCAAAUUGCUUUAGAGACCACAGCCUCCGAAGCAUGCAGGAGGCCAUGAUGCUGGACAGGCUUGUAAAUCCUUAUUUGUCACACACAGCACAGUAAAAAGAAGUGCUGCAAUUUGUGCUGUAAUCCUGCCCAAAGACAAGCCAGUAAUGGGGCCAAAGGUUUUUUUUUUAAUAAAAAUGUCCACAAAAAUUCAGACAUUGACUCAUUUUCAGGAAUAUGCUUCAGGAAUUCAAGCUGAACUCAUCUGAGCCCUUAGCUUUGCUCACUGGUCCAUAAUAGAGUAUGAAAUAAAGGGCUUCAGAGAGGAAUGGUCCCUCAAUUGCUGAAGAUAACUAAUUGGCCUAAUGGCAAAAAAUAAAACAAGAAACAAAUAGAAAAGAGCAAUUAUAACACUGCGGUGACUAGUCUUGUUGAUUAGACUUACUACUUUACACAGAGCAGCUAAACUGAAUUCUUCAUAAAAGAGACCAAACUGAAGUCUUUCCACUUAACUGUGUAUUACACUGAGUUAUGAGGAGAACCAUGAGUAUAAAUUAUCUACAAGAGUUUUUGUCUAGCUCCAUCGUGGUAACAGUAUGAUCACGUCAUACAGUAAGAUAUAAAUGACUCAUUUCAUUUCAUGGUAAGAUAAAUCCUGGAAGAAAUGGAAGCUUUACAAACUUGAGCCAUUCAUACGCAUUCACCUUGACUUCAUGGACUUUAAAACCUUUAAAAUAACUUUGAAGUGAGGUUAUUUAUAAAGAAAAACUACAAACAAAUUAAGUUAAAUUUACAAGGUAACACACAAUGGAUAUACAAAUAUCUGACCUGAAUGUUUGACAAAUGUAAUUCAAAUAACAAAUGAACAGUAUGGCACAAAAGGACAUAGUCACGAUUAUGGAGCUUAAAAAUAAGACUAUUUUUCCAAGCUUGUCUGCCUUCAAAGGUAUUUAAAACCUGAUUCUCCUCCAGCAUGUAUUAGUGUCAAUCAAAAUCUGCUCAGGUCAAUGGCUUUACACAAUUGCAAAAUUAGUAUAAGUGAGAGGACAAUCAGAGCUUUUGUAUGCUACAAAAAUCUCUCUUAAUAGCAACAGCAGCAGAGAAGAAGGAGGUAGGAGGUCCCUUUCCAAGACAGGCAGUGUAGACAAACAAGAAAAACCUGCUGAGCUUGUAAAUGAGGACUUGGAGGAGGAGCUGUAGCAUUAAUUUAGCCAUUAAUUCACUUCUUAAAAAUUUCCUCUAUCCUAUCUUCCACUUCAUGUGAUAUUUAGCAGGAUUUGGGUUACAAAUUUAACAUUACAUUGCAGAGAUGUGCUUUCCAUCACGACGCCCAGAAAGAAGUUAGAACUUUAAAAUUACAUGCUUGUGUGGCAGCAGUGCUUCUUGAUUUGUUUCUUGUGAAGCUGUGACAAAGAAGUGCCCACUUCACUCUUGGGCCCCAUUCGUGGCUGCCAAAUCCCAGACUGCCUUCUGCAGAGUGCAGCUAUGACUCCACCACUGGAGGCCUUGCUUGCCAGAUGCAUCUCGUUGCUGUUUGUGAUGGAUCCAGGGAAAUGUGCCCUCAGGUAACGUAUUCUCAGCUCUCGCCUCAUGUUACAGGGUUGUCCCCACUUCACAUGCACUUCGCACGCAGGCAUGUUUUUGCUGUUGGACAUCUCUAUUCUGUAACUGAACAAGGGAGUCAUCAGGAUUUCACCAGCCCACAGGGACUGUUCAAGCAGGUUGGUUCUCUCCUACUAUAUUGACCAGUUUUAAUGGACAAUGCAAGUAGGAUUAGUGCAUAGAAAAUAGUGAUGAAAAGGGAAGGAGAAGACAUUCAUAAAGCCUUGUGUGACCUGGCUUGUAGAUGUAUCAGAAGUGGACAACUGUUGUAGAGGAUCAGAUUUCCAGGUCACAGGAGCCACUAAUAAUUGGCACUAACCAUUAGGUCAGAAUCAGGAACAGAAUCAAAGGAAAAAAAAAGAAGAAAAAAAAAGUGGAAAUUCAGGAGAAUAAGCUUAUACUUCUUGCAGAUGGAUUUUCCCAGACAACAGAGAGUAAGUGUUUGGAGAAGGAAGGUGACUUAAGAAAUGCUUAAUUAACUUUAUCUUAUACCAUCAUUUCAAUGGAAAAGAGGUCACAUUUGCAUCAGUAGAUGUUUAAAGCUUGUCAGGCAGAGAGGAAAAAAUACUUAUUAAGGAAAAAAACUUUUGUUGAUAUAACUUCCUUAAAACCAUUGGGACUUUGCCAGCAGAUUAAGCCACAAAUAAUUUACCCAGAGGAUAUGAAGUCAACAAGCUUUAGAACUGUGGGAACAGCAAGUGCUGAAUAAGCCACAAAGUUAUAGAAAGAUCAGAACGUCACAAAUAAACACAGAUCAGGCUUUCAGAUGAUGACAUUGGAAGGGCUUCCUUUAAAUCCAGGUCCUUCUGUCACUUUGAGACACUGAAGCAGGAUGGCUUUGGGCAGUUUAUUCUCCUUUUGGAGCUCACAUUGCAGUAUCUGUUCUAUACACUGCUUUAGGGGAGCAGAACUCUGAUGUGAAAGUCACUUUCCAACUAAUGGAAAAAACAAACCAGUUUUCCUAUAGGAGAUAGAGGCCGUGUGUGUGGAGGACAAGCAAUAGCAGAGAAGUCCUGCCUAAGGGAAUCUUCUUUCUUCUGGCAGAGUAUCUUUGCCAGCCCAGAACUGCCCUGGAGACAAACUUGUUCAGACUCUCUCUGUACUGUUUUUAUGUUUGGCUCUGGGGAAAGGCAAGAGUUGCAGAAGACAAAACCAUCCACCUAGGCGAUGGCACUACCAUUGUUCUCAGAAGGACAUCCUCAGUCCUCACCCCCAUGCACUUGUAUGAUCAUGAACUGAUCGAGAACAGAUCAAGUCAUGUUGUGAUUUUCAGUAACCACCAAUAUUAAAACCUGAGUUUUCGCCUGAUUGUAGUAGGUGAUUACUUUUUUUCCCUUCACUUCCAAGAGACAAUAGAAAAUGUAGAAUUCUCUGAGGUUAAUUGUUAUUCAGAUUUCAUUCCCUUCAAAGCUCUUCCAGGCUGUCUAUCUUGGUUCAGUAGAGUACUGACAUCUUUUACCUUCUCCUAGUCUUGCAGACAAGCAGCAGUAGAUAAGUUUGGAAACACCACCUCAGCUAUAAGACAGUUUCUUCUUUCAUUUCUUAGCUUCUUGAGGCUUUAGAGGGGAAUCCCACUUCCAGACAGCUCAUAAAGUAAUUUGUGACACAGGAUGUCCCAGUUACUACAUAGGAAUGUUGAAAGCAUUUUAUUUUCUCCUCUUUGAUUUUUAUUGGUUGGAUUCCUGGUCUUUUGUGAGUAAUUACACCAUUUGCUUUAUGUCUUGCUUUUAUAAUGACUAAUACAAAAAUAUAUAUGUGCAAGCAAAUGGAAUUAUAUUACUAAGUGAUUAACAAUGAACAAUUAGGAUUAAUUAAGGCAAUUAUUUUAAUAAAUAAGAAUUAGCAAAAUAUAUCCAUAAACAAAACUAUGGCACAUAUUAAGCUUAGCUGAUGCAGGCUAAAGAAGUAGAGUUGUGACAGUUGGGAACAGGGGCAAGGAAGAGACAGAGAUGAUUAAACAGAAAUACCCAUAUAUAUAUAAAAGAUUUAAUUAGGGGUAAGGCAGGAGGGACUUACAUGGACUACCAUGCCACUUGUAAGGGUUGAUCUGUUAUCACUAGAAAUGGGAUUCAUGCACAGUCAUUCAUAUUUAACCUUUUUUUUUUUUCCCGUGGUACAAAGUCAGAAAGACAUUAAACUAUCUAAUAAGCAAGGGAAAAAAUAUUCUUUUCCAUCACUUUUUAGCAGUUCAGUUUUGAGGACUGAUCAUGGCACCAAGAUUAGAAUCUAUUCUUGAGGUUCAGAUCUAGACAUGAAAUUAAAGCUUUUCUAACCAAGCUUUGCACCAACAUCACUGAAACACUUUGACGUUUCUGAAUCAAUUCAUGUCAGUGUUCAUUAAGGAAGUUUUUACUAUGUGGAGUUUUGGAUAAGCUGAAGCAACUUAUCUUGUGCUAUUUUAUAGCACCCCAUAUCUCCUGAACUUCCACAUCACCACAGUACAUUGGGUUGCCGUGCUGAAGGGUGGUUCUGCUCAUGUGGCACCACAAGUGAGAGUUUGCCAUGGGUUAAUCUGUCCAAUUAAAUGGGUAUGGUCUAUUACUAGCCAUUGUUAACCUUUGGCAAAUUAAACAUCAACAGAAAGAUGCUAAUAAAGCUGUAAGCAAAGAAGUAAACUUCAAGAUUUGAUAUCCUAGAUGGUGCCAACAGUUUUCUUUCUAUAAUAAAGUGUUCCAAGUAGCCUGGGGUUCUCAAAACAGUAUCAAACCUCAGUAAAUUAUUGCUAUAAAGUUUAUAAUAAGAUUGAAUAUAGGAGGAAGUUUAAGGAGAAAAUAUAAGGUAAAUUAUAAAGAAGCACAGACACUGAGUGAAAUUCCCAGGAAUUUUGGGAAGACCUUGUAAUGUCAAAACAUGGUCUGUCUAGUCAGAUGAUAUCAGCCAGUAAAUAGUGUUUACUCUGGUGUAAAAUGAAGUUAGUUCUCUUUUGA